CAAAAGCCACUUCUUAUAAAGCUUAAAGACCUUUUUGCAAGACUUUGAGAUGGCAAAGACAUGGAUACACUUCAAUUUGUUUCCUGUUGCUUUCUUUAGCAUUCUCACGAUGCAGCUAUGAAAUGUGAAGGAAUUUUAUUUUUGCGUCAUCCUUGUUGAUGCUACUGUUCUUGGUGAAACACAAUGGCGGGAGACCUUCAAGUCAGCAAAAGAAAAGGAGAUAUGGUAUGAUUAUAUUGGUAAUACAUAUUGUUUCAUCCAUAAAUUGUUAUUAAAUAAUUUAAGCUUCGAUUUUGAUAAACCUUUUAUGUGUUUUGAUCAUUUUCAUCAAUAUCAACCUAUAUUGAUGUUUACCGACUUAUUCCCACAAGAUUUUUAUUUAAAUAAUUUUUUGUCUUUAACUUCUUUUUGCAAUAAAAUAUAAUCAUUAAAUUAUGUUAUUUAAUCUAAUUAAUAAUUUUAUAUUUUAUAUUUAUAUAUAAGCAUAUUUUUAUGUAUGUGAUUGAAGUAUAUUUAUAUGUAAUAAAUAUAUUUUUAUUAAGAAAUUAAAAAUUAGACUAUAUAUGAAAAUAUAUAUUUAAAAAUCGAUAAACUUGAAAAUAACAUUGUUGACCUAAAAUAGUUGCUAAGUCUCCAAAUUGUUAAAUAUGUAAGUAACAAUCGAAGAGCAGAAGUAUAACACCCCAAACCCAACCUAUAUGUUACGGCCAAAUAUAGAGAAGUUACCAUGAUUCACUUUGAAAAUGUAGAAAUCAUUUGGGCUUGUGGAAAAUUUCAAGCUUUUGAUAACACAAUUCCAGUUUAUCUUAAUUGACAAUAUCUUCCUUACUUAAUUCGUUAAUUCCACCGAUAAAAACAUAUUUAUAAAAACACUGAUAAUUGCAGCGAAACUCUUAGCUAAAUUCAGUUUGAAAAUUGCAGUUUGAAUUUUAAAAAUCCAAUUUUUUGCUAAUAGUGUUGUUAAAAUUUUAAAAACGAUUAAACUGUUUAAAACAAAAAAAAUUAAAGUCCAAAACAAAAAACAGUUUCAAAUGUUUGAAACAAUCCAACAGAACCAAAACAAAAUAAACCAAAUUUUUAAAUAGCACAAUUUAUCUAUGUUUAAUUGAGCUCCUGCUGCACUGACCCAUCCUAUAUCUGAGAGUUACUUAAGAGUCAAACAAAUAGAGAAUGAGCUUAUAAGCUCAAUGUGUAACUUAUAAUAAUAAUAACAACAGAUACAAUUUCAGACAUGCGUUCGGAUUUUAAACAGACAUAUUUCACAAACAGAAACAGAAUCAAAACAUAUCAUAUACAGAUUUUAAAUUCUAUACCCAUUCGCUACACACUAUCUCUGACUAUCCCUAUACACCAUAUAGGAUAUAUAAACAUCCAUCCGAUCCUACACACCGCUAAGUGACUGUAUGUCACUUUUUAAAAUAUUUGCAUCCUAGAUGCCAGAUCGUUAGGCAGUAAUUCGCCAGAAACAAAUAUAUAUGUGGUUGAGUCAAUAAAUAUGACAGAUAAAUUAAACUGCCCACACUUCCUCUAUAAACAUAUUUCCCACCCCAAUACACAUGCAGAACUAAAAUUUAUGUGACAUACUUGCUUUAUAUACCAAAUUCAGAUCAUGCUUAGGAAAUAACAUAUCAUACUUAACAUAAUACAGAUCAUACUUACCAUAAUACAUGUCAUACUUAGCAUAUAACUUAUUAAUCAUGCGUACAUAAAUUGUAUUCAAUGUUAACAGAACAUCAAAGAUAAUGAUUUAUAGCCUAAUUUGUAUCAUAUGGACCCUACGGAAGGCCUACGUUUGACUCGUACGACGAAUACAACCUUAGGGAAAAUUUUCAGAAUUUGGGCCCCCACACCCGUGUGGCCCACACAGCCUAACACACGAUCUCACACACACCCGUGUGGCCCACAUGGCCCAAUUGACCCAAACUGUGCAUACAGUCUAGUACACAGUCUGUCAUACAACUGUGUGUUGCACACGGCCUAGCACACAACCGUAUGGCAUCGACAGUCUAUUUUUUGGCUUUUAGUCAUUCAUGAGUUUUUGGGAUUUCAUUGCACACCUGAUCGAUUUUUGAUGUGGACCCAAGAACGAAUACUCUAGUACCUAAAACGACCAUUUAUACGAAUUAAUUAACUUAGUUUUACAAAACACGAGUGCUAAAUCAUGACCAACUACUUCAAUCAAACUUCAAUGCAAAGAACUCAACCUCAAACAGUGAUGAAUAUAGUCACUUACCCUCAAAAACAACAACCCACAAAAACUAAGUCGCUGGAGGAACACCAAACGUCUCACGAUUCUCCCCUAAUAAAGAAUUAAAACGACUAAUUCCAUAACCCAAAAUUUAACACAUUCAUUCUUACCAACCAUGUAAAAACACAUCAAAACGAAAACUCAAGACGAAAAUUAACCAAACUUACCAAUAAGUAAUGAUAAUAAUGAGAGGAUAAUCAAUAAACCAAAACCAAAUCGUAAAUGAGCGUAAAGAAAGGAAAGAAGGGAAAAGAAAAGAAAUGAAGAAGGGAAAAGCUCAAAAGAAAAGAAGAAAAAUAUGAACGUGACUUGAGAGAAAAAAGAAAAACAAAACAAAGCAAAAAAAAAUGGUAGGAGUGGAGAGACGUGGGAGCAAAAAUUUAGGGAGAACUUAGGGAAAAAUCUAAUUAAUUUUUAAACGACCCAAAUCUAAUCCUACUAACCAAUAAUCAGAUUUAUGGUAACUAACCAUAUUAUUCAGAGUUUGAAAUUGACCCAAAAUCAUCCACCUAGGUGACCUAAGCAGAAAUAAAAAAAAUAUUGUCAAUUUGCUCACCCAGAGAUUCAAACACUCCAUAUGAUAAGCUAACACCUUACCACUAAACCAAUAGGCUCACUUUGUCACAAGUUUAAUGAAAAUAACUUUUAAGCCAAUUAAACAAGGAUAGAGCUAGGAGUAAAAAUAAUUGAAUUUUCCCAGAAGAGACAUUUGAACCCAUGACUUCAAGCACACAUUCAAGGCCCUUAUCUACUAAAGCAGACACUUAAUUAUGACAAGAUUUAACAAAUCAAAAAUCCAAAUUUUUGGGGCAUUACAACUCUCCCCCUAAAAGAAAUUUUAGCCUCAAAAAUUUACUUGAUUCAAAUAGAUGCAGGUAUUGUUGUCGUAUCGAGUCCUCAGGUUCCUAAGUGGCUUUGUCAAUGUCAUGAUUCUGCCACAGAACCUUAACCAAAAGAAUGGUCUUCCUCCUCAAGACUUUAACAUCACGAUCCAGAAUUUGAACCAGCUCUUCCUCGAAGGCCAAAUCUAGUCUUAUCUCAAUCUCCUCAACUAAUACAAUAUGAUAUGGGUCAGACCGAUACCACCUCAACAUAGAGACGUGGAACACAUCGUGAAUACAAUCUAAUUCUGAAGGUAGCUCUAACUGAUAGAUGACUGAUCCAACAUGUUUUAGAAUCUGAUAAGGCCUAAUGAACCUAGGGCUCAACUUGCCCUUACGUCUAAAUCGAAGACCUUUCUUCCACAUAGAUACUUUAAGAUAGACUUGGUUACCCACAGAAAACUUGAUAUCUCUCAUCCUCAUAUCCAAAUAUGGCUUUUAUAUAUCAAAAGCUACCUUAAGAUGAGCUGAAUUAGUCGAAACUUGUCCAUAGUAUUAUAAACCAACUCAAGACCCAAAAUCCGCCUCUCACUCAACUCAGUCCAACAUAAAGAGGUACGACACUUACAACCGUACAGAGCCUCGUAAAGUGCCAUUUAGAUACUAAACUAAAACAUGUUAUUAUAAGUGAAUUCAGCCAGUGGCAAAAACUCCUCCCAACUAUCAUGAAAGUCAAUUACACAACCUCUAGCAUAUCCUCCUAAAUUUGAAUCGCUCUUUCAAAUUGCCCAUCAGUCUUAGAAUGGAACACAGUACUGAAGUCCAACCGAGUACCCAAAGCAUCAUGAAGUUUCUUUCAAAACUAAAAGGUGAAACAAGAGUCUCUAUUAGAGAUAAUCGAGACAGGAACCCCAUAUAGUCUAACGAUAUCGAAAAUGUAUAGUUUAGCCAAUCUCUGUAGAAAAUAGCCAAUCUUGACUAGAAUAAUAUAAGUAAAUUUGGUCAAACGAUCCACGAUGACCCAUACUGAAUCCUUCUUAGUAAGUGUCAAGGGUAACCCACUAAUAAAGUCUGUAGUCAUAUGCUCCCAUUUCCAAAGGAGAAUAUUAACUGGUUGAAGCAAACUCAAAAGCAGUUGGUGCUUAGCCUUAACUUGCUGGCACGUCAGAUAAUGAUAGACGAAAUUAGUUACCUCCUAUUUCAAACCGGAUCACCAAUAUAACUCUCAAAUAUCCUGAAACAUCUUAUUUCCACAGGAUGCAUAGCAUAUGGCCUACUAUGCGCUUCUCGCAAAAUAGAUUGCAUCAACUCAGCACCGUUAGGCACACAAACCGGUCUUUUGAAACACAAAACCCCAUCACCAUUCAGCCCAAAAUUAAAAGUUCUACCUUCUUUAACCUGUCAAAACAGUAGAAUUAUAGAAUCAUCCUCUAAUUGUUUAACCCAAAUCUGAUCAAUCCAAGUCAGUUUAAGUUGUAACUUGGCUAACACACUACCGUCAUCAAAAUACUUAGGCGAGCAAACCUUGCCCUCAAAUUGGUCAUCAAUUUAUGACUAAGAGCAUCGGCCACAGUAUUGAUCUUACUAGGAUGAUACUCAAUGGUGCAAUCUUAAUCCUUAAGCAACUCAAUCCAUCUACAUUGCCUAAGAUUCAACUCAUUCUAAAUAAAAAGAUACUUAAGGCUCUUUUGAUCAGUGUAAAUGAUACACCUCUCAUCAUACAGAUAGUGCUUAUAGAUUUUCAAAGUGAAAACAACCUCAGCCAACUCAAGAUCAUGCAUAGGAUAGUUGCCUUCAUGUGACUUAAGCUGUUGGGAUGCUUAAGCCACUACCUUACCAUCUUGCAUUAGAACACAACCCAACCAGAUGUGAGAAGUAGCCCUGUAAACCACAAACUCUUUACUAGAUUUAGGCUGUAUCAAAAUCGGUAUAUGAGUUAGAAUGGGCUUAAGCUUUUUAAAGCUCGAUUACUACUCAUCGGCCUACAAAAAAAUGUGUGUUUUUACGCAACAACUUAGUUAGAGGAGCUGCGAUAAGUGAGAACCCUUCAACAAAUCUUCAAUAAUACCCCACUAAAUCGAGAAAGCUUCGAAUCUCAGACAUAUUCCUAGGCUAUUUCCACUCAACCACAACCUCAACCUUUUUAGGGCCAACUCAAAUUCCUUCAACAGAAGUCACAUGUCCGAGAAAAGUAACCUCCCUUAACCAGAACUCGCAUUUGCUUAACUUAGCAUAGAGUUUUUCUCAUGGAGUAUCUGCAGAACUACUUUAAGAUGUUCAUUAUGGCCAUCCUCUAUCUUAGAGUAUACCAUAAUAUCGUCAAUGAAAUUUACAAUGAAUUGAUCCAAAUAUGGUCAGAAAACUCGAUUCAUAAGAUCCAUAAAUGCAGCCAGAGCAUUAGUCAAACUGAAUGGCAUGACUAAGAACUUGUAGUGCCCAUAACGAGUCCUAAAGGUAGUCUUAUAUACAUCAACCUAUUUAAAAUUUAGUUAAUUGUACCCAAAAAGAAGAUCAAUCUCUGAGAAUACAAAAUCCCCACGAAACGGAUCGAACAAGUCAUCAAUCCUCGGAAGUGGGUACUUAUUUUGUACCGUCAAUUUAUUUAGUUGGCGAUAAUCCAUACAUAUCCUCAGAGUAUCACCUUUCUUUUUAAUGAAAAGAACUGGUGCUCCCCACAAUGACACACUAAGUUUGAUAAACCUUUGAUCGAGAAGUUCCUAAAGCUGAGUUUUCGGUUCCAUAAGCUCUGUCGGUGUAACAGCCCAUUUUUACUGAAAUCAGAAUAAUGGUUUCGGGACCACAAAUCUUAUGUGAGAAUAAUUAUUUUAUUCUAAUUUCAAUGUCUAGAGUAAGUUAGAAAGGUCGUAUAAAAAUUCCAUUAAAUUUUUUUAUCUUUUUUAUGUUUAAUUUGAUAAAAAGGACUAAAUCAUACAAGGUGCAAAAUUAGAGUUUUUUAAGUUAAAGGCACUAAAUGGCUAUGAAAUUAAAUGGUUAAGGGAUUUAUGUGGUAAUUAUACCAUUUUUAGUAUGAGUGGACAAAUAUGGACAUUAGAUAGGUGUUUUUAUAUGUUAAUAAUACGGUUAAAUAAGUAAUUUCAUAAUAAAUGUUAGUAAAUUAAUGAAAAACCUAAGCUAUCAUCUUUGUUUUUCAUCUUCCACUAAAAAUUGACCUAAGAAAUCACUAUUUUUAACAUCUCAAGCAUUCGACUAUCUCUCCCUAUUUCAUGUAAGUAUUUUUCAUUCUUUUUUUUUAAUUAUUUUUAUGUUUUUGAAGUCAUUGUAGAUUAAUCUAGCUAGCACAAUGACUAAUUUGCAAAAUUUUUAAAAGGUUAGGGUUUUAACAUGAAUAUAUUCAUGUGAUUUUUGAUGUUUUAUGGAAGAAAAUGAAUCUUUGUUGAUAGAUAAAUAACUUUUGUAAAGUGAAUUUUGUUGAAAACGUCAAAUAGGGAUUUAUUUGUAAAAUGUGUAAAGUACAUGGUGAAAAUUGUGAAAUAAUGAAUUGUAUGAGUUGAUAUGGACCUAUAUGAAAUUCGACUAGCUUGGUUAGGGAUGAAAUUACAUGAAUUUCAUUUUACGAGCUUAAGGACUAAAUUGUAAGGAAGUUAAAAUAUUAGGGGUAAAAUUGUAAUUAUGCAAAAAGUGUUUUUGUGGACCAAAUUUAAUAAUUGAGAUUUAUUGAAACAUUUAAUUGAAAAUACUUAUUUAUUUAGAUCAAGAUAUAUCUCAGUCGGUUAUAAACAGAGGGAAAGCGAAAGUCACGGAUUAGCUCGAUCGUACUCCUACGCGUUAGUUGUCAAUAUAAGUUCAUAGUAUUUAGAUGUAUAAUUGAAUUUCCCUAUAUAUAUUUUCAUCUUAUAACCAUGAAAUAAAAUACUUACAUUAAUUAUACCUGAUUGCAUAUAUGCGCCCCUAUUUGUACUUCAGUACCCCUGAUUGAACAUACGUGCCCCGUUUGUAUUUCAGUACCCCUUGGUUACACACACGUGCCCCUAUUUGUACUUUAGUACCGCUGAUUGCACAUAUGUGCUCUUGAUUGCACAUACUUGCCUUUUUUAUACUUCGGUAAUUUCAAUAGAGUAAAAUAGAAGUUGCAUUCAAUUGAUGAUAAGUUAAAAGAUUUACUAUGUUCUUACUAAGCUUUGUAAGCUUGUAUGUUUUUGUGUAUUAUUUUGUAGAUCAUUAUCGUUGACUUUUGAACGGAUCGAAUCUAUGGCUCACACUAUCCAUCGAUGUUGGUAGUUCUUGUUCUCUUUAGGGUUGUGGCAUGUAUAUGUCGCUAUAUAGGUUGUUUUGGUAUAAUCAGGUGAAUUACUGAACUAGUUGAUUAGGUACUUUUCUAAGUUUAUGAAUAGAUAUAUGUUGAUGCAAAUAGAAUGUUAUGAAAGUAAACACUUAUGGAUUGUUUUGGUUUGUUGAUGAAUUAAGUUGAUAUGUUUGAUUUAUAAAUAUGGUAUAUUAGUUGGUGUGUUUUUGGCACUUUCUAAGUUUAUUGAAGAAUUAAACUCCUCAUCGAACAUCACAGGCGAAACACACUUAUCACAGCCUAAACAAUUCCUAGCAGUUAUGUAUGCUAUGACAAAAUGAAUGCAAAUGAACAAAAAUACUAAAACACACAUGAUCAACUAAAUAUCUAAUGCAGUCUAGAUACACAAUACACACCCAAACCAAAGGGAUGCAUUAUCCUCAAUGCAUGUACAAAUAUGAAUCAUGGAUGCAAGAACAUAUAUAUGUACAUAAUGAGAUGUAAUAAAGGGAUAAAAACUUUUCGAGCUUGGAACUGAAUGGUGGUAAUUUAAUUACCACGAGUGGUCUUUCCUGCACUUAUCUUAUAACGCUUUUGCCUUUUAAGUAAAUUGAGUUGUACAUCAUCCUAUUCAUUAUCAAAUUUGGUGAGUUCAUCAAUAACCCGAUUGAUCUCACGAUUUUGUUCAGUCAUCGGUCUAGUAGAAGGAGGUGGAAUAGCUACAGUGUUGUCCACUGGAGGUGCAAUUGAGGGAUUUGCUUCCUCUUCGUCCUCACGGUCAGUCUCAAUGUUGACAGACUUUGUUUUCUCUGGUUCUUCCUCUGGUGCUUUGGGUGCAUUCUCCUCAUUAGCAAGAUUCGUCUCAACAGGCUCAGUGUCACCAACCGCUUCCGCUCUUGCAACUUGUUAAACAAGGGAAAUAAAAUAACUAAGAGAAAUUUAAAUCGAUAAAAUAAAAUAAAAAUAAAAAUAAAUUUCAAGAUGUUGAAGUUAAACAUCUCGAAGAUCAAUGGACUGUUCGUCUAGCUCUACAUAAGCACCCUAGUAGUGCUUCAAACCUUGUCUAUUAACUAUAAAUGUGUCCCCUGUUUUCAUGUCAUUGACAUCAACAACUCCAUGUGGAUAUACAUUAGAUACCAAGCAUUGUUCGUCAAAAUUGAAAGGUCUAUUUUGCUCCAGCAGAGUGCACAAGGGUCUCCACUCAAAUGAAUCUUCAUCAUUAUCAGAAUUGCUAUGGAAAAAUCUCGAGAACUCUUCUUCCAUUGUUGCUCCUAUCAAGUCAUUGGCACGACAUUUUUCAUUCUCAUCAACACAUUUUAAUACAUAAAAUACAUUGAAUGUGACCUGCUGAUCAGUCAUCCUCAUGGUCAAAUCACCUUUCUGCACAUCAAUUAAAGUCCUAUCUGUAGCCAAAAAAUGUCUUCCAAGAAUAAUUGACAUAUAUUUGUCAACUUCACAAUAUAAAAU
rnacentral:lncRNA from 1 species